AACCAUGCCUACCAUGUAACAAUGCCCACCAUUCUCUACAGAAUCCCCUAAGGGACAUGUGUACCCUACUGUAGAUAAAGCCUAUGGGAUUGAUUUGCCCUGCAGAUGGUUAAUUUGUUGGUGGUAUCUGUCCCUAGAUGUCCAGUGCUCUGCAGCGGACACCCUGGGCCCAGCAUGAGUGACCCGACCAUGCACAGUGCUGCUCUCCUGAGGCUUGCACACUUGGCCCAUAAUCAAUGGCUACCAAGUCACACGCAUGAGUCGUUGGAGAUCCAACAAGCUCCCAGAACCUGGAGGACAGUUCAGGGAAAGUGUGGAGAGCUCAUAAACUCUCAGCAAAACUGAAUCCCCUCUGCCAGCGUCCAGGUUAUCACCUGUGGAUUCCAGGUGGAAAAUACGGCCAAGCCCAGUUUACCCCAUGCAAGCACACACCCUCUGGUUGUCGGAACUCCUCACCUGAGACAUCCGUCUCUCUGACUCAUUCUCCUCUACUCAGCACCGUCCACUGCCACCCAGCAGGAGUGAGAUGCCGACUCUGAGCGCCUGCCGAGCACUCUCCAUCGCAACUGGCGCUCACAGGACCCAAAGAGCCCACUGUCUCGUUGAUUACAGGAGCGUGUCCUAAAGACCUCACAGGCUCUCAAAGGAAAAAGGGAAGUGAAACAAGCGCUUUUGAAAUAAAAGUGUC